AUGUAUGGUCAUCUCUCCCCAUCAGAUCAAAAUCCUACCAACACGGACCCGAUCUCAGCGGUUGGCCCACCCCUCUGGAAUUCCACCUCUCCUGAAUCCCCCCUCUCCCUCCUACACACGCAACCUCUCCACGGCCUGUACCGGGAAGCCAUGGAGACCGGCGGCAAGGGCAUCCGCCGCGCGGACGAGAUCGGCGACGGCCGACGAAUGCGGGGCGUGGCCAGCGUCGACCGCGGCCAGAACCUCGGCGUCCGCGGGCGCGAGGAGGUGAGCGCCGAGGGCGGGGUCCAGGUGCUGGCCGAGGCGGGCGGCGAGGCAGUCAGCGUCGAGGGGCUGGAGAAGGCCGGGGGCGAGGAGGUCACCGUCGGCGUGCGGGACGAGUUCAGCGCCGAGCGCAAGCCCGUCGACAAGGAGGAUCACCUCAGCAAGGUGGUCGGAAUCGGCGAGGAGGUCACCGUCGCGGUGCGGGACGAGCUCAGCGCCGAGCGCAAGCCCGUCGAUCAGGAGGAUCGCCUCACCAAGAUGGCCGGCACCGGCGAGGUGCGGGACGAGGUCAGCGCCGAGCGCAAGCCCGUCGAUCAAGAGGAGAUGGUCGGCAUCGGCGAGGGGGUCACCUCCGAGGGGGGCGGCGGCAAGGAGGAGGAGGAGGGGGACUGCGGGAAGGAAGAGGACCAGCUAUUCCAGGGGAAGCAGAAGGAGGAGGUGGGCCGCGGUAAACAGAAGGAGGUGCUGUGCAUCGACGGCGUCGGCGGGAAGCUGACGGCGGAGGUUAAUAGUGCUCAAGGCAUAUUCAUUGGAGCUGGACCUGUCGCAGGGAGGCCAACAAGAUGGGCGGACCUGCCCCGAGAGCUUAUCGAAAAGAUCGCCACUGAUCAUCUUGAAUGUGCUGUCGAUAAAGUCAACAUCUCCCUUAUCAGCCGUCAUUGGCGCUUCAGCAGGAGUGCCACACAGCAUAUCCCCUUGCUUCCUUGGCUCUUUUUGCCCUCGCCGAAAGAGAUUGUUCUUCAAUCCUGCCAGAGGUUGCUUGCAUCGAGUUCCUGUUCUGCCUGA
rnacentral:rRNA from 1 species